CUUCAGUGUCCCGGUGCGGUUAGUCACGUUUCGUGCGUGCUCAUUCUGCCAAGAUGCCUGAGGAAACCCAGACCCAAGACCAACCAAUGGAGGAGGAGGAGGUCGAGACCUUUGCCUUUCAGGCAGAAAUUGCCCAGUUAAUGUCCUUGAUCAUCAACACUUUCUACUCGAACAAAGAGAUCUUUCUGAGGGAGCUCAUUUCCAACUCCUCAGACGCUCUGGAUAAGAUCAGAUACGAGAGCUUGACCGACCCUAGUAAACUGGACUCGGGGAAGGAGCUGCACAUUAAUCUCAUUCCCAACAAGCAAGACUGAACCCUCACUAUUGUGGAUACUGGCAUUGGAAUGACCAAGGCUGACUUGAUCAAUAACCUUGGCACUAUUGCCAAGUCAGGCACCAAAGCCUUCAUGGAGGCUUUGCAGGCUGGUGCAGAUAUCUCUAUGAUUGGCCAGUUUGGUGUUGGUUUUUACUCUGCGUAUUUGGUUGCUGAGAAAGUGACUGUCAUCACCAAGCAUAAUGAUGAUGAGCAGUACGCCUGGGAGUCCUCAGCUGGGGGAUCCUUCACUGUGAGGACAGACACAGGUGAACCAAUGGGUCGUGGAACAAAGGUUAUCUUGCAUCUAAAAGAAGACCAAACUGAGUAUUUGGAGGAAAGGAGAAUAAAAGAAAUUGUGAAGAAACAUUCUCAGUUUAUUGGCUACCCCAUUACUCUCUUUGUGGAGAAGGAACGUGACAAGGAAGUCAGUGAUGAUGAGGCUGAAGAAAAGGAAGAGAAAGAGGAAGAGAAAGAAAAAGAAGAAAAGGAGUCUGAUGACAAGCCUGAAAUAGAAGAUGUUGGUUCUGAUGAAGAAGAAGAAGAGAAGAAGGAUGGUGACAAGAAGAAAAAGAAGAAGAUAAAGGAAAAGUACAUUGAUCAAGAAGAACUCAACAAAACAAAGCCGAUUUGGACCAGAAAUCCUGAUGACAUUCUGAAUGAAGAAUCGGAGAGUUCUACAAAAGCUUAACCAACGAUUGGGAGGAAGAACAUUUGGCAGUAAAAGCAUUUUUUCUGUUGAAGGACAAUUAAAUUGGCUCUUCUUUUUUGGCUUUUGAUCUAUUUGAGAACAGAAAGAAAAAGAACAACAUCAAGUUGUAUGUACGCAGAGUUUUUAUCAUGGAUAACUGUGAAGAGUUAAUCCCCGAGUAUCUGAAUUUCAUCAGAGGGGUGGUGGAUUCUGAGGAUCUCCCUCUAAAUAUUUCCCGUGAAAUGCUGCAACAAAGCAAAAUUCUGAAAGUUAUCAGGAAGAAUUUGGUCAAGAAAUGCCUAGAACUAUUUACUGAACUGGCUGAAGAUAAAGAGAACUACAAAAAGUUUUAUGAGCAGUUCUCAAAAAAUAUAAAGCUUGGAAUUCAUGGUUCCAGAGCUAUUGAGAUACUUCUGCUUCUGGGGAUGAGAUGGUUUCUCUGAAGGACUACUGCCAGAAUGAAGGAAACCAAGCACAUCUAUUUUAUCACUGAGACCAAGGACCAGGUUUUAACUCAGCCUUUUUCCGAAAAGCAUGGCUUUAAUCUAUAUGAUUGGGCCCAUUGAUGAGUAUUGUGUGCAACAGCUGAAAAUUUGAGGGCAAGACCUUGUGUCUUUACCAAGAAGACUGGAACUUCCAGAAGAUGAAGAGGAAAAGAAGAAACAGGGAAGAAAAAAAGACAAAAUUUGAGAACCUCUGCAAAAUUAUGAAAUAUUUUGGAAAAAAGGUUGAAAAGGUGGUUGUGUCAAACCGAUUGGUGACAUCCCAUGCUGUAUUGUCACAAGAUACGGCUGGACCAAAAUGGAGAGAAUCCUCAAGCCCUCAGAGACAACUCAACAAUCUACAUGGCAGCAAAGAAAAGAAACACCUGGAGAUAAAAUGAUCACUCCAUUAUUGAAACCUUAAGGCAAAAGGCAGAGGCUGACAAGAAUUUGAAAGAUCUGGUCAUUUGUUUUGUCUUUUUGAUCCCCAGAAUAACAGGAUUACAGGAUGAUCAAGCUUGGUCAGGUAUUGAUGAGGAUGACCCUACUGUGGAUGAUUGUGCUGUUGAAGAAAACCACCCCUGGAAGGAGAUGAUGACACAUCACGCAUGGAAGAAGUAGACUAGGCUUCACCAGAACUAUGUGUUUGAUGCUUACCUUCAUUCCUUCUGAUAAUAUAUUUUCCAGAUU